GACGAACGCUGGCGGCGUGCUUAACACAUGCAAGUCGAACGGCAAGGCCCUGCUUUUGUGGGCUGCUCGAGUGGCGAACGGGUGAGUAACACGUGAGUAACCUGCCCUUGACUUUGGGAUAACUUCAGGAAACUGGGGCUAAUACCGGAUAGUAGCUCCCGCUGCAUGGUAGGUAUUGGAAAUUUUGGGCGGUUGGGGAUGGACUCGCGGCUUAUCAGCUUGUUGGUGGGGUAGUGGCUUACCAAGGCUUGGACGGGUAGCCGGCCUGGGAGGGUGACCGGCCACAUUGGGACUGAGAUACGGCCCAGACUCCUACGGGAGGCAGAGGUGGGGAAUAUUGUACAACGGGCGGAAGCCUGAUGCAGCAACGCCGCGUGCGGGAUGACGGCCUUCGGGUUGUGAACCGCUUUCGCCUGUGACGAAGCGUGAGUGACGGUAAUGGGUGAAGAAGCACCGGCUAACUACGUG
rnacentral:rRNA from 1 species